CGGCGGCGGCGGCGGCGGCGGCGGCGGCGGCUGGAGGCCUCCGCCGCCCUCUCGCCGUCGUCGGCCGAAUAUUAUCAUGAACCGAACGGAACGAUGCGAUGGGGACAGCAAGCAGCGGAGAGCAGGACUCGGCCUGCCUGCCUCUGUAUUUAAAAUGUGACUCGUCUAUCGCAAGAAACACAUACGAUGCUGCUGCUGGAACGCGACGAGCGAGCGAAACAACGAACGUACGUACUGCGACUGCGCGCGCGCGGAACGAGAGAAAAGAGGAUGGAUAGAGCGGUGUGUUAGAGCGGGACAAAACUUACGGUGCGAAACGACGCGUCAUGGCAAUACCGGACGGAGGAGUGUGGUACCUACGCGGUGCCGCGCUGCCGCCGCAGAUUGAUGGCGAACGAAUCGAAUCCACCAACGACGAGGCUGGUCACAGGUGCGACAGUAAUAUUUUAUUAUAAUAUCUAUUUAUUAUUUUCACAUAAAUUUUGCUGUUGUAUUAUUUAAUCUAUAUGAGUGAUAAUAUGAAAUGAAACAUUGGUAUAAUGUAUAAUUAUGUACCUACUCUAAAGACGUUUUAUGACAUUGACGCACUUAUUUAUAGUAAUUGUUAUUACAAAUAAAAUUUGUUUGACUUA